rnacentral:snRNA from 1 species
ACAUCUGUUAAAAGAUAACG